CCUUGUGUGACCCACAUGACUGCUUCUCAAAUCCUUGCCUCUUUCAGAGAUUUCCAUGUGCUUUCCAAUGCAAUCCCUGCACAAGACUCAUCUUCUAAAUGCCAGUGCACAGAUACAAGUAAAAGACAAGAAAAACAUGUACAACUAAUGGCUACAAGCAGAUCUUAGCAGAAGUUUCAGCUAAGACAUUCCAGACAUCAAAAAUGUGUUAUUCUCCCUAUUAAUCCUUAGGUCAACACAGAGUUUUCUAACCUUUGCAAUUAAAAUGCAGCCAGACCUGA